rnacentral:tRNA from 1 species
GGAGAGGUGGCUCAGUGGUUAAGAGCACUGGCUGCUCUUCCAGAGGACCUGGGUUCAACUCCAAGCACCCCCA